rnacentral:lncRNA from 1 species
AUCAGAACAGAAUCAGACUCUAACCAGCUGAUGCCUACUCACUCAUAUGAUCGGAAUAGAAUCAGACUCUACCAGCCGAUGCUUAUACAUAAUUAUGUACAGAACAGAAUCAGACUCUACCAGUGGAUGCCUAUGUACUGCUGUGAUCAGAACAGAAUCAGACUCUACCAGUGGAUGCCUAUGUACUGCUAUGAACAGAAUCAGUAGAGAAAAGGCAACCACAACUUUCAAAGGCACUGUCGGAACUAGACACAGGUCUAGGGCCAGGGCAAGCACCCCUCUGGACGGACGGACGGAGGACGGACGGACGGACACACACACACACACACACACACACACACACACACACCACACACCCACACACACACACACACACACACACAACACACACACACACACACACACACACACCACAACACACACACACACACACACACACACACAAACACAAAUGCACAAAUCGAUGCCAGACAUAUAA